rnacentral:rRNA from 1 species
UACGUAGGGGGGCUAGCGUUGUCCGGAUUUAUUGGGCGUAAAGCGCGUGUAGGCGGUCCGGUAAGUCCGCUGUGAAAGUCGAGGGCUCAACCCUCGAAUGCCGGUGGAUACUGUCGGGCUUGAGUACGGGAGAGGCGAGUGGAAUUCCUGGUGUAGCGGUGAAAUGCGCAGAUAUCAGGAGGAACACCGAUUGCGAAGGCAGCUCGCUGGAACGUUACUGACGCUGAGACGCGAAAGCGUGGGGAGCAAACAGG